rnacentral:rRNA from 1 species
AGUGAACGCUGGCGGUAGGCCUAACACAUGCAAGUCGAACGGCAGCACAGUAAGAGCUUGCGCUUACGGGUGGCGAGUGGCGGAUGGGUGAGGAAUACAUCGGAAUCUACUUUUUAGUGGGGGAUAACGUAGGGGAACUUACGCUAAUACCGCAUACGACCUACAGAUGCAUGCAUAGGAUCUUCGGACCUUGUGCGAUUUAAUGAGACUAUGUCGUAUUACCUAGUUGGCGGGGUAAAGGCCCACCAAGGCGACGAUCCGUAGCUGGUCUGAGAGGAUGAUCAGCCACACUGGAACUGAGACACGGUCCAGACUCCUACGGGAGGCAGCAGUGGGGAAUAUUGGACAAUGGGCGCAAGCCUGAUCCAGCCAUACCGCGUGGGUGAAGAAGGUCUUCGGGUUGUAAAGCCCUUUUGUUGGGGAAGAAAAGCAGCAGGUUAAUACCCCGCUGUUCUGACGGUACCCAAAGAAUAAGCACCGGCUAACUUCGUG